rnacentral:ncRNA from 1 species
UACUCCGAAAAGGCCGGGCGGCGACACCCGGCCACCGAAGGUGCAACCCUCCUUCACGGGAGGGGAAUCUCUCAGGUAACGUAACGGGGGCA